UACGUAGGGCGCAAGCGUUGUCCGGAAUUAUUGGGCGUAAAGAGCUCGUAGGCGGCUUGUCGCGUCUGCUGUGAAAUCCCGGGGCUUAACCCCGGGCGUGCAGUGGAUACGGGCAGGCUAGAGGCAGGCAGGGGAGAACGGAAUUCCCGGUGUAGCGGUGAAAUGCGCAGAUAUCGGGAGGAACACCGAUGGCGAAGGCAGCCCCCUGGGUCAAGACUGACGCUCAUGCACGAAAGCGUGGGGAGCAAACAGG
rnacentral:rRNA from 1 species